AACGCACAUUGCGCCCCUUGGCAUUCCAUGGGGCAUGCCUGUUCGAGCGUCAUCUACACCCUCAAGCUCCGCUUGGUGUUGGGCGUCCGUCCCCGCCCCCGCGCGCGGACCCGCCCCAAAUCCAUUGGCAGCGGCCCUCCGGCCCCCUCUUGCGCAGCACAUUGCGCCUCUCGAGGGCGGCUCCCCGGGCCGCGACCCACCCAAGAUGGCCACCGUCUUUGACCUCGGAUCAGGUAGGGAUACCCGCUGAACUUAA
rnacentral:misc_RNA from 1 species